GAGGUGGCGGUGCUGCUGGGCUCGUUUGUUCUUUCGUCUGUCCGUUCUUCCUUAGUAACAAGCCGCGGGUUCUGGGUUAGAGGUUCCUUGGGGGCGGCCGCCUUCCACAGAGCGAGCCUGAGGCACCCGCUGCCUUUCUGCUCUACUGGCUCGGUCCUUUACGGUGUUGCCUUGUAUGUGUGGCUUUGUCUCCUGUUGACUCCCGCGGUGACCUGCUGGUCGCAGGCAGGCUGCACGUACAAAAACGCACCUCACACGUGUGCCACGCUUUGUUUCUAAGCAGUCCUGGUGUCCGGAAAGCUCCAUUUGCUUCAGUGCAAGCAACCUGCUCUAGCGGGAAGUACUCCUGCCCAUAGCAGGGGUUGCAACUGGUGGUCUUCAAGUCCCCCCCAGCCCAAACGAGAGAGGAGGCUCAGGGGAGGUCUUAACACUCUCUAUGAAGACCUGAGAGGAGGUCCUUUCAAGCUGGGGGUUGCCCUCUUCUCCCAGCAGAAAAGGACAGCUGUUUACUGUGACCUCUGUCCAGCAAAGGCCCACAUACUUAGCAAGAGUUAACUCCUCCUUGUUAUGAGGAGUAAAAUGUGAGAAAAGUCAAGAAGUGUAAAUCUUCAAAGGAUAAUGUGCAGUUAGAUGCCAUUUGGCAUGAUGAAGAAUAUCACACUGCAGCCCGGAGAGGCAGUGACAUUAUUCAGGAAGCCUUGAGAAUCAAUAUUUCCUGUCUCCUACUCCUGUGCUGCUUCUCAAGGGCUGGUCAGCAGAGGGCCGUGUGACCCAUAGGAGCAUAUGUUCUACGCACAGAUGUGCCUGUGUACUCCAGAUCUGGGAUUUCAUCAGGGAUAAAUAUUUCCUUUUUCUCCCACAAGAAAUUAUUUUUCCUUCUGGAUGGAGUGGUGCAGAGAUGUGUACAGACAGAAUCUCGCAGACAUGCCCUUGCUACAAAGAAGACUGAUGUUAUCCUAGGCUUUGUUAGUCAGAAUCUCACCAACGGGUCAACGGAGGUGAUCUUUCCACUCAGGACAAGUGAUGCUACACAUGGAGCCCCGUGUCCACUUCUGGGCUCUACAGUACAAGAAAGACGUGGACUUGCUAGAGACAGUCCAAUGAAUGGCCAGAAAAAAACUAAGGGACUGUAACACCUGUUCUAUGAGGAAAGGCUGAGAGAGCUGGGACUGUUCAGCCUGUAUAAGAAAAGGCUCAGGGUGGAUACGUGAUGAGAUGGUGCAAAGAAGACAAAGCCAUUGGUACCCAGGGAUAGGACAAGAGUUAAUGUGCACAAACUGGAAUGCAGGAUUCUCCCUUUGAUCAUCCCGUAAUGCUUUCUUACUGUGCGAGUGACUGAAGAAUAGAGCAGGCUGUCCAGAGAGGCAGCGUGGUCUCCUUGGAGAUCUCCAAAAGCCACCUGGGCAUAUGCCUGGGCACUCUGCUCUAGGUGGCACUGCUUGAGCACAGACUGGACCAGAUGGACCCAGAGGUCUCUGACAACUUCAGCCAUUCUGUAAUUCUGUAUUUACAAAGUAAACAAAAGCACAGGUCUGAAUAUUUUCCUUUGCUGUGUGUCCUUGUGUUACUCUUGUUCUGUUCCCUGAUACAGCUGAAUAGAUACAAAACCAUGUGAAUGCAAGUAUGAAUUGACUUCAGUAAUCUCAAGAGAAAUAUUCAUGUGAAUAAAACUACUAAUGAACAGCCUUCUAUGUAACCUUAUUCUCUUUUGUAAUUUCCACCUUUAGAAUUAUAGCCUAUGAUCAAGGUAGUUUCAGUAUCAAAUUUAUGUUUUGAAGUAAGGAGGAUUAGUAAUUUCCAGAUAAGUUUUACAGAAGCUAAUAAGAUUUGACCAAAUAAACUUUCAUUGCUGCCUUCCAAAGUUAAAUCAUAGUCUUACAUAAACAAUAAAUUCCCCCAGUGAAUACCUGUUAAAUGGAUUUGCAAAUUGUGUUGCAGCCCAAUAAACAAACAAACAAAAUUAAUAAACAAACCCUUGAAUGUUCUUGUUAUACAAAUUGUGAAUUCAUUCCUGGCAAACGCAAUACCUCCACAAAUCUCCAAGCCAUGUAAAAGCAGUGUGAACUUUUGAGUAUGAAACUUAUUCAUAGAAAAAAAAUGUGGUAAUUCUUAUGUGCGUAUUUUUACCUUGUGCCUGUCAUUGGAACUGAAGAUUUAUUGCUACAAUACAUAUUAAAAGCAACCA
rnacentral:lncRNA from 1 species